UAAAGCUGACAUUUUGGGGUUUAAAAAGUAUUUGUAAGUAAUAAAUGCGGUUUAAUUCACAAUCCCGUGCUGAUCUGAUGUGAUGUGAGAACUCGAGCUGAGUGUGAAAGUGCACUGAAAGAAAGUCGCAGUGAAGGUGAAGCCCCGCCCUCGCUGUGAUGCGAAGCAGUGGACCGGAUUUAUUAUGGAGACAUUUGGCCUCACGGAUGAUGAUUAGAUGAUUAUCUCCAUCACGUCUCCGGUAUCUGAGGAUCUUCGGGAGGAGAGAGAGUGUAUUGGAACAGGGCUCACGCUUCAGAUAUCUCUCUCUCUCUCUCUCUCUUUCUCUCUCUCUCUCUCUCUCUCUCUUGCUCUAUCGAUGGUUUCUCCCACCAUGAAGGCUCUGGUGGAUGCCGUGUGGGCGGUGUGGAGCAUCGGAGCCUACAUCUAUGACUACAUCCACACCAGUGCCAUGGAGGAGCGCAUUCACACUCUGGAGAGCGCCGUGACGGUGCACGAGCAUGUCAUCGGUUUGCUGACGGCGGCACUGGUGGCGUUAGUCACUUACAUACUGCUGAGGAAACACUAGAGAAAAUUCUGAAGCUCGGGAGAGGAUAAGAAUCGUGUGAAAGUCUGUGAAGGUGCAGCUCAGCCUUCCAGAUGUUAGAGAAGCAGAUGGAGGGUGUGAUGUGUUUACUGGGAGGUUUAAGCUGGCGAGUGGGCCGAGCUUUGUGUGUUUAGAUCUUAAUAAGUUCAUGUUAUUUAUUAGGUUUGGUUCAAACAUGGCUUCUAACAGGGACGAUAUGAUCAUUUCUCUUACAAAUUGAAAAUUCACUGAUCUCCAACAUCCACCAUGCUCAUAAGUGCUUUAGAACUUUAUGAACUAAUUUACAAAACAUUUUGUGUGGCUUAGCGUUCUUCAGACUUCGUUCUUCAGACUUCGUUCUUCAGACUUAACCUCCUCUAUCUUCAUUAUUGAAGAAUAUCCAGCUAAUUCUCAGAGUUGUCCGAUUUCACCAUCAUUCCUCAGCUGGUUAUUUGAGGGCGAUGCCAGCGCUCGCUCACGUCUCAUCGAGCUUCUGUUUAACUUCAAGGUCACUUUCUUCAUGUUGGAUGAAGUUCAGUAGUUUCCUCCAUCUCCUCAAAUCUGUGUGGACUCUGUGUUAAUAACCCCUUCAUUACAGACUCUGAUUAAACGUCUCAGUUGAGUUCUCACUCCAUUAUGACCUGUGAAGUGUGUUAUGAAGUGUCCUUAACAUUUAUUAACGUUCAGUAAACUGCUGUGUAAUAAACAUGGUGUAAAGUCAGAAACAGUUUACAUUAUUCUCAUUAACACUUUCUUGUGUUCACGAGUCGACUGUGUGUUAAACAGAAGGAGACUUUUACAUGUUUGUAAUAAAACAUUUCUACUGA